rnacentral:rRNA from 1 species
GAUGAACGCUGGCGGCGUGCCUAAUACAUGCAAGUCGAGCGAACAGAUGAGGAGCUUGCUCCUCUGACGUUAGCGGCGGACGGGUGAGUAACACGUGGAUAACCUACCUAUAAGACUGGGAUAACUUCGGGAAACCGGAGCUAAUACCGGAUAAUAUAUUGAACCGCAUGGUUCAAUAGUGAAAGACGGCUUUGCUGUCACUUAUAGAUGGAUCCGCGCCGCAUUAGCUAGUUGGUAAGGUAACGGCUUACCAAGGCAACGAUGCGUAGCCGACCUGAGAGGGUGAUGGGCCACACUGGAACUGAGACACGGUCCAGACUCCUACGGGAGGCAGCAGUAGGGAAUCUUCCGCAAUGGGCGAAAGCCUGACGGAGCAACGCCGCGUGAGUGAUGAAGGUCUUCGGAUCGUAAAACUCUGUUAUUAGGGAAGACCAAAUGUGUAAGUAACUAUGCACGUCUUGACGGUACCUAAUCAGAAAGCCACGGCUAACUACGUG